CGGAGAUUUAUCGGAGGUCGUCGCCACUGUUGCCAAAAAAACAUCCAUUUGAAGCUUUUGGUUUUAUUUUCCGAUUCGGAGAUUUAUCGGAGGUCGUCUCCACUGUUGCCAAAUAAACAUCCCUUUGAAGCUUUUGGUUUUAUUUUCCGAUUCGGAGAUUUAUCGGAGGUCGUCGCCACUGUUGCCAAAUAAACAUCCCUUUGAAGCUUUUGGUGGGAGAGGAUUACCAGAUGAAAUGAUGGCAGAAGCCGGGUUGCACAUGGGAGGCAUAUAGUCUUUUUGGGGAUUAACCCAACCCACUUUGCUUUUGGGAGGAAGAGGACCAUCAUUUAGGGAUUGUAAGAAAGAAGGGAUAAACCUAAGGUAAGAAAACCUGCUUUUGUACCAAUGGCUCGUGAAGGAAAGAAGGGAUAAACCUAAG